CAACUGGACCCGUCUCCAGCGUCUCUGACAGGUCAGGCAGCUUGUGCAUCUGAGUCCUUGCCUUGUGACCUAAUGGAUAUCCUUCCCUGUGUGGACAGCCGUGAAGAAGCAACCUGGCGGUGGCAUCUGGGAACUGUAUGCUGCGGUUGUUGCUGCCUCUCGCAGUGAGUCGCAGAGACAGUACUCAGCUUUGUCCUGGUUUUAGCUUCCUGCUUAAUGACCAAACGGCACCACGAUUUGCCAAUUAAUGUGAGAAGAUGGACUGAAUACAACAUUCACAAGAAUGCCGUGGAGCUUCUGCUUCAAUAAACAAGCUCGUUCUCUUACUGUUAGCA
rnacentral:lncRNA from 1 species